GAAAAGCCUCCAGGACGUGAGUACCAUUUGCCUACUUAUGCGUAACUGAGGCUUUACUUGUUGCGAAAGGAGAAAAUUAAGAAAUAGUUCUCAACGACACCAGCCAACUAAUAAUAUCUACCGUCGUCGAUAAACUACAAAUGCCAACUUUUUUUUACUAGAUUACCAUUACCAGUCUGACCAUCCUAUCGUGACGUGGCAUACGUA
rnacentral:lncRNA from 1 species